rnacentral:rRNA from 1 species
AUUGAACGCUGGCGGCAGGCCUAACACAUGCAAGUCGAACGGUAACAGGAAGACGCUUGCUUCUUUGCUGACGAGUGGCGGACGGGUGAGUAAUGUCCGGGAAACUGCCUGAUGGAGGGGGAUAACUACUGGAAACGGUAGCUAAUACCGCAUAACGUCGCAAGACCAAAGAGGGGGACCUUCGGGCCUCUUGCCAUCGGAUGUGCCCAGAUGGGAUUAGCUAGUAGGUGGGGUAACGGCUCACCUAGGCGACGAUCCCUAGCUGGUCUGAGAGGAUGACCAGCCACACUGGAACUGAGACACGGUCCAGACUCCUACGGGAGGCAGCAGUGGGGAAUAUUGCACAAUGGGCGCAAGCCUGAUGCAGCCAUGCCGCGUGUAUGAAGAAGGCCUUCGGGUUGUAAAGUACUUUCAGCGGGGAGGAAGGGAGUAAAGUUAAUACCUUUGCUCAUUGACGUUACCCGCAGAAGAAGCACCGGCUAACUCCGUG